rnacentral:pre_miRNA from 1 species
GAGACAGCCUUCUGGGGCAAGACUUGCUUCAGUGGGGCUUUGGUGCUCAUUGAGUUCGCCCCCUGAGUGUGUCCCU